UUCAUUUUUUUAUUACUUUAAUUUUCAUCGCUUGCGUCAGAUGGUGCGUCAGUCUGCCAUCUGUCAACGCCAAGCCACCUCGUUUUAAUUUUUGACGCAACCCAAAUAAACAAAGAGUCACAGUGCGAUGGAGAAAGGUUUUAGUACGACGGUCAUAUUGUCGAAGUUGAGAGCUAUGUGAAAGGUGUAAAAGGGUGUGGGGAUAAAAUCAUACUAAAAUUUAUACUUGUAUCUUGUGUUACUAAUUUACUUUGUGUUGUGGUAAUAAAUACAAAAAUAAAGCCUCUUGUAUGUC